rnacentral:rRNA from 1 species
GUUCUUUUGGAUCUUGUGAUUGGAAUGAGUACAAUUUAAAUCUCUUAACGAGGAACAAUUGGAGGGCAAGUCUGGUGCCAGCAGCCGCGGUAAUUCCAGCUCCAAUAGCGUAUAUUAAAGUUGUUGCAGUUAAAAAGCUCGUAGUUGAAUUUCGGAAUCAAUAUAUCGGUCGUGCCUUGGUACGUACUGGUAUCAUUGGUUUCUCCUUUCUGACGAACCAUGAUGUCAUUAAUUUGGUGUUAUGGGAAGUUAGGACUGUUACUUUGAAAAAAUUAGAGUGUUUAAAGCAGGCUUUGGCUUGAAUACAUUAGCAUGGAAUAAUGAAAUAGGACGUUCGAACCUAUUUUGUUGGUUUCUAGGAUCAACGUAAUGAUUAAUAGGGAUAGUUGGGGGCAUUAGUAUUCAAUUGUCAGAGGUGAAAUUCUUGGAUUUAUUGAAGACUAACUACUGCGAAAGCAUUUGCCAAGGAUGUUUUCAUUAAUCAAGAACGAAAGUUAGGGGAUCGAAGACGAUCAGAUACCGUCGUAGUCUUAACCAUAAACUAUGCCGACUAGGGAUCGGAUGAUGUUAAUUUUUUAAUGACUCAUUCGGCGCCUUACGGGAAACCAAAGUGUUUGGGUUCCGGGGGGAGUAUGGUCGCAAGGCUGAAACUUAAAGGAAUUGACGGAAGGGCACCACCAGGGGUGGAGCCUGCGGCUCAAUUUGACCCAACACGGGGAAACUCACCAGGUCCAGACAUAGUAAGGAUUGACAGAUUGAGAGCUCUUUCUUGAUUUUAUGGGUGGUGGUGCAUGGCCGUUCUUAGUUGGUGGAGUGAUUUGUCUGGUUAAUUCAGUUAACGAACGAGACCUUAACCUGCUAAAUAGCUAGGCUUAACUUUGUUAGGUCGUCAGCUUCUUAGAGGGACUAUCGGUGUUUAACCGAUGGAAGUUUGAGGCAAUAACAGGUCUGUGAUGCCCUUAGAUGUUCUGGGCCGCACGCGCGCUACACUGAUGAAGUCAACGAGUUCAUUUCCUUUAUCGGAAGAUAUGGGUAAUCUUUUGAAACUUCAUCGUGCUGGGGAUAGAGCAUUGCAAUUAUUGCUCUUCAACGAGGAAUCCCUAGUAAGCACAAGUCAUCAGCUUGUGCUGAUUACGUCCCUGCCCUUCGUACACACCGCCCGUCGCUACUACCGAUUGAAUGGCUUAGUGAGACCCUCGGAUUGACGUUCAUCGGCUGUAAAAGGCUCUUGUUUGUUGAAAAGUUGGUCAAACUUGGUCAUUUAGAGGAAGUAAAAGUC